GAUCCCCAAUUUUCUUUCUAAUUUCCCCUCAUAUAGCAAGCAUGAUGAGAUGAGCAAAUGGAAGAUUUGAUUUAAAGCCUCAAAAGAAACAGGAUUUGAUUUUCGGUUUAGUUCUUCGAUUCAAAUCAUUACAUGGCUAGAGGGAAGAAGGUAACUGCUCGGCCUCAUCCAACUGCUCUGCAUGUUGGUCUGCAUAUUCACCUAUUUGACAUAUUUCAUAUAUGUUUGUUUGUAAGUUGGUAGUGGGAGAGUGUGAUAUUGUGAGAUGUGUAGCAGACUUGGUUGCUCACUUAUUUGGUCAUUUUGUUGGUCAUUGUGUUGCAGACUUGCAGUUUAUACUUAAUAGUAUUGCAUUCUGGAAAAUUUGCAGCAAGUCUUCAUGUAUUAGUGUAUUACUAUUAGUCUAUUACUACAUUGAGCUCCUUGAAAUAGUCGGUGUCGAAUUCUUUUGUUUGCUUUACUCUUGCAAACUAAUGCAAAGUUUGUUUUUCUUGA